GAUCCAGUGGUGAAGUGGUAUCAUGCCUGCACAAACUGCAAUUGCCAGUGUUUCUGCGGGAGUUCCCUGUUCAAUUCAGGGCUGGGUCA